ensembl:lncRNA
CAGUUCUCCUGCUCACACUUUCACUGAGGGUGGGUGCUGCGCUGCCAGCAAAGCAAAUUGCCGCACUCACCUGACGUUCCUUGCACCUCACUCCUGCCCUCCCCCCACCACCACCACCACCAUCCGCCAGCUCUCCUCCUCUUCCCUCCCCCUCCUACGUCUCCAAUAUCUCUACUGUAGUCUCUCUCAGAGGUACAGUCGCCCGGCACAGCGCUUCACCGGCAUGCUUUGCACCUCUGAGAUUCCUCCUCCUCCUCCUCAUCCUCCUCCUCCUCCCCCACUUACACCCUCUCCCCUGCUGAAAAAGUAUGCAGCACAUGCUCUCCCCAUCCUCCUUGAGCAAUUUGCCUGAGUGACUAGAGAAUGGGGGGAGGGAGAGAGCGAGGUAGAGAGAGCCAGUGAGCCAGCAGCAGAGGUGCAAUCCUGCAGCAUCCUGCAGCCGCUGAGUUUCUGCAGCCUGGCCUCAAACGUCACACAUACACACAUGCACAUCGUUCUCUGUCAGACACGGGCCGUCCUUCUGUCCCAGGACAGUGGUGAGAGAUGAGGAAGAGCAGCCUAUAGGCUGUGUUAAGAGACAGAGGAGAAGCAGGCACACACACACACACACACACAACACUGCUCAUGAAGCUCCACAGGGAAGCCUUGCAGAGAUUAGUUGGUUGCCCCCCCCCCCCACAUGCCCCCCUCCUUCCCCCCAAUGGUGCAUUGUCCCAUUCCGGCACUCCAGUUCCGAUGAUGUAAUCAAUGCAGCAAGCUUUGAACUUGCUGGGCUAGGGGCUCCUGCCCCCCCUCCCUCCCCCGACCAGUCUGUGUCCCAGGUAGGAAGAUUAAUACUUUGUCUUCUUUAUUAUUAUUUAGCUAAAAAGUGCCAAAAAUAAUUUCCUGCGAGUUCCUGCCAGUUUAAUCAUUGUCCAGAUUUCGCUCUUUUUCAAACAGAUUCUAAAUGAAGAACCGAUUCAGUUGGUGGAACUACUGCUGGCACUUAGUCAAAAAAGCUGCUGAGCCGCACAGUGGCGCACCGCCCCUUCCAAUAGAUUAAAAGAAUUACACCUCUUCUGCUUUUCUACAAAGUUGUAUGGCUUCUUUAUUUGCUGUCAGUAGGGAAAAACAAACCUGCAAGCAGUAGCAAAGUGCUCUGAGUUCUUUCCGGGUGUAACAUUAUAGUGACUUUGCUGUUUCAUUGAUAAGGUCAUCAGUCUAUUGACGGGCUGCGGCGGACAGCAGCACCGGGGAUGUACGACAGGGCUGCUCAGACGCUCAGGCAUUCAGACUGAGACCAUAUUCUAGCACGUAGGUUUUGCUGAGCUGGUUUCUGCCGCUGCACCCAGCAUCUGCCCAGUGAUCAACUUCCCCUACAGCAGUGAUGAACUGGCAUCACCCGUCCUCUAGUGAAAAAACGUAGCUUGCUCAGAGCGGCGCUGCAUAAUUAGCACUGAGAUGGUGAUGAUUCUACACAUUUGAUACGGUUCAUUGUGUCUCUCUCUGAUGGAUCGGCGAGGGUUCUUUCUCGACUAUACUAAUAAGUUGCUUUCAAAUUAAUAUUUAGCAUUCAACAUCAUGGAUCCAGGAAAAUAUGAAUAUUUCACAUUUUCUCCUUUGCUAAUGCAUCCCCUAAGAAUUUCACAGUCGUGUAAUUUAUACUGAUGAGCUUGAUCUGUAAUUGAUGUUGCCUUAACAACUGUGGUGGUAAGAUGAGAUGAAGUUACAGCUUCUGUAAACCAUUCGUUCAUUCUGCACUCUGAGAUCUGCUGAUGAAGAGUGCGUUAUAAAUAAAAUCUAUUAUUAUUAUUAUUGCUGUGAUAGCAGGAAAACAGAACCACUUGCUAAUAAUGUUAUGUAUGGAAAACAAUGCUGUUGAGAUUCAUCUGACUUGCAUCCUUUCAGUCCACCAGUAAGGACGCAGGAUUGUGAAGUGCUUCCUGCUGGGCAGAGCAAAGAACAAGAAGUCUGCAGGGAAGGUGUACUUCUUUGUGAUCUAUGGCCUGCUGGCAAAGACCAUCUGACAAAUCAGCCCGGCACUGCAACGUUUGUCUCUCCAAGACUUCUCCAGUCCGUGGCCCUCUUCCCUCGCUUCAUCUCAACACCUCUGCCUUCGUGAAAGAAAUCUAGUUAACCCCGACACACAGAAAAUAAAUCUCAAUGUACCUUCGCACAAUAACUCCUCCACGUGUUAAGAAGCUCAAAGUAAAAGCUGUGCAAUGCUAACUGAUCCAAGCAGGCUGAGUCAUGCUGCUAUUUUUCCUUUUUUUUCUGUUUCUGGGUUUCCCCUCUAAUCCUCCGCUCCUCCCCCCUCUGGUCUAGGAGCAGGAUAACACACCCGGUCCAGCUGUUGGUGGCGUGUUGGAACAUGCCUUGACUUGUUGCACUGCCUGGGUGAAGCACAGGGGCCACAGUCCCAGGAAGAGAGGGAAGCGGCUCCUGGUCAACAGUGUGCCAGGGUGGAGUGACCCACACCGAGACCUGCUGCACCUGUGGACAGAGCGUGGAUGGAGGAGCUGCUUAGAGCUUCAAGCUGUUGGCGUAAGACCCCGUGCCCCCCCCCCCCCCCCCCCGGGCGUUCAGCGUGAGGCCUUAGCCUUCCAACAACCACCAGGAAGCCGGGCACGGGAAGUGUGAGCAUCCGCAGUGCCAGACUUACGGGUGGAGGUGUGUACCAGUCCGGAUGCUGCAGGGGGGAGGCAGGCGGAGCGCCCGGCGGUCGGAUGCGGCUGCUGUGGGUGUUUCUCUGGCAGUGUCUUAGCUGGUUGUUGUGAGGAGUGAGAACGAAGCAAUCAGCAAGUAUACUGCCGCAGAAACUCUUCGCAAUAACAGGCCCUGGGACCAGAGCCAUCGAGGGCGGGGGGGGGGGCAAAACGUGAAUCAGCAUCGUAGCCAUCUGCUACUGCAGGUUCCUACGUGUGUGAAGAGGAUGUAGGAAUUAACCAGAGCUGAGGACCUGAUACAGAAUGGGCUGAGGAAAGAUCACCCGAGCACAUGACCUCUGCAUGUUUACAUUUGAAUUAAAGCAUCAAACUCAUACUUGCUAUCCACUUACAGUCCUCUGCUGCCAUCGUGUGAUAGAAAUGGACAUUUUUAGCAUGUUUUUUUGUUCAUUUAACACUGCAGCAGUCUGUAAAAAAUGACAUUGACAUUGAUCUAAAAUCCCAUAUAUUUAGAUAAUAUGGCUUGGUUUAACAUGACUUCAGGUUCCAACUUUUCAGCUGCAACUGCAUGUUGUUUUUUGUGUACAAAUCUAAUAUUGCUUCAAUAGUUGUAGUUUGUCUGUUUUUUCGAGUUAUUGUGAUUGAAUAUCGAUGGAAAAUGAAUUAAUAAAAGUGACGUAGCUUAUA